GUAUGGGUCACCGCAAGGUCUGUGGCAUCAGCGCCACACAUGUUUCCGCGUCUUGCCGUGCAAGGCGCGACCGGUUACGCCGGAAGAUCCACACCGCCGGUACACACCGGC
rfam:Pseudomonas rhizosphaerae strain DSM 16299, complete genome.